CUCCGAAGGCAGACAGAGCAGCAUGGAUGCUAUUACAGUGUUCCAGAAGAUGUCUACAUGAUAAGGAAAGAACAUCUAUGGAUGAGAAAGAGAGAGGAAACAAACCAGAUCUGGGACUGUGGUAUGGCUUGAUGGCCCUGGACUACCUAAUUUUUCCAGUGGUGUCCUGGAAUAUCUCUAUUGGAC
rnacentral:lncRNA from 1 species